rnacentral:rRNA from 1 species
UCCGGGGUUGAUCCUGCCGGAGGUCACUGCUAUUGGGAUUCGACUAAGCCAUGCGAGUCGUGAGGGUUCGGCCCUCGGCAGACGGCUCAGUAACACGUAGAUAAUUUGCCCUUAGGUGGAGGAUACCCUCGGGAAACUGAGAAUAAUACUCCAUAGAUCUAGACUGCUGGAAUGCUUUUAGAUUGAAAGAUUUAUCGCCUAAGGAUAAGUCUGCGGACUAUCAGGUUGUAGUCAGGGUAACUACCUGACUAGCCUACGACGGAUACGGGUUGUGAGAGCACUAGCCCGGAGAUGAUAUCUGAGACACGAUAUCAGGCCCUACGGGGCGCAGCAGGCGCGAAAACUUCGCACUGUGCGAAAGCACGACGAGGGAAUCCCAAGUGCUGGCUCGUAAGAGUCAGCUGUUUCUCUGUCUAAAAAACAGAGAGAGUAAGGGCUGGGUAAGACGGGUGCCAGCCGCCGCGGUAAUACCUGCAGCUCAAGUGGUGGCCGCUAUUAUUGGGCCUAAAACGUCCGUAGCCGGUUCUAUAAAUGCCUGGGUAAAUCGUACGGCUUAACCGUACGAAUUCCGGGUAGACUGUUCAACUUGGGACCGGGAGAGGCUAGAGGUACUCCUGGGGUAGAGGUGAAAUUCUGUAAUCCUAGGGGGACCACCAGUGGCGAAGGCGUCUAGCUAGAACGGGUCUGACGGUGAGGGACGAAGCCCUGGGGAGCAAACGGGAUUAGAUACCCCGGUAGUCCAGGGUGUAAACGCUGCUCGCUUGAUGUUAGUCGGGCUCCGAGCCCAACUAGUGUCGGAGAGAAGUUGUUAAGCGAGCUGCCUGGGGAGUACGGUCGCAAGACUGAAACUUAAAGGAAUUGGCGGGGGAGCACCGCAACGGGUGGAGCGUGCGGUUUAAUUGGAUUCAACGCCGGG